GUGCGGGAUUAAAAGCGUACAUCCACUGCAGUGUGAGUAAAUCAAAUCUACUCGAAUAGCCGUGCUCGCGGUUAUUGAGCGCCGGGACUUGUACUACACUUGACUAGCCUCAUAGAUUUUAAUAUUGCUUAGAUUAGGAAAGUGUUGUGACCUUGCCCGAUGGGCGGGAAUGUCACGCCCGGAAAUUCACUAGUAAUUUCCGAACUUAUUUGUGCAUAAAAUCCUCGUCCAGGAAUCAGCCGAGGUACACAAACUGACAAUUUAAUAUACAAAUCCAUCUUAAUAAUAACGUUACAUACUUACAAAGAAAAGAAAACAGCAGCGGAAUAACGAUCUAGCGACGGCUUCAGCUCCACUCCCACAGGCAGCUCAACUGGGGUAUAAGCCAAACGUCUUCUCCUUCUGGAUCCUUUAUCUUCAACUGAGGUUUGAUUGAUUAUUGCAAGAAUGAGCAUAUGACAUACUCAACAAGCCACACAGCAAAUAUGCAAGUGCACAAGGAUACCAAAGGAUGGCAUAAUAUAGGCUCAUUUGCGAAAGCAGCAUUUAGCAAAGAGUUAAGAGUAGUAAAACAGUAGAGUAAUUAAUUAAAAAUUUUAAUCAACACUGAACAGCACACCCAUGCUGCACAGGCCCAACCAUCCUGAACAACCAUACCCGGCUGUACAGAUCUAACUCCAAACCAGGAGCUAAGCAAAUUGUUACCAGUUAUAACAUCCAUAAUUAUUGUGAGAGGUGUGAGACUAAUCACGAAAAACAUUGCUCAACCCGCCCAUAACCGCGGGCACGGCUAUUCGAAUAGUUUUACUCUGGCCAGAGGUGUACCACUGUACCCACAAGACACAACCCCACAUCAUGUCACCAUGUGCCUCAAUACCACCACGGUACCUCGGAAAGGAGUUGUGACAAUACCCCUUGCACAACAUAAUCCAUUACAGCGCACCUUUCCUGGAUCAUAAUCACCCCCUUAUAAACAAGGCAUGGACUCCCCAGCGACCCCCGUGGACUUCUCGCCACUUCUCAGUCUGGCGCACUCUAAUGAAUCACGCUACACAAAAGAUAAAGCCGUUGCCCACGCUGGCUUGUGGUUGGCACGAUAAAUGUUUCACAACAGUAGCUCGCGAACCGGUCCUUAAUUGUCAUGAGCACGACUCUCAAAACCAUGUGCUCACAACCCACCAUUAUCAAGUUUUAGUUGGCAAGUAAUUAAUUAACCAAUCACGAUUGACCAUCGUGAACUAUCAUUAAGCCAUCCUUAAAUAAUAGUGAGUCAUAAGUUAUCCCAAUAGUGUGCUAAUGUUUCUAAGCAUGGCUAAGCAAUCAUAACUAAUAUCUAGCUGAACCAAUAUAUAAAGCCCAACUAGUCAAGUUAUAAUAACCCAAGGUAUCAAGGAAUAAAGUAAUCAAUGCAAAUUGGCCAUAACAAAGGAAUAAGUUCACACCACCCGGUGACAUUCGAAAAUAAAUGCACAGUUGAAAUAAAUAGAGAAUUUAAAUAUAGGAUCAACAUGCUCAAAGGAUUGUGUUUAGGAUCUGUGUGACUUGCCUUGCAAUAAUCGGUCUUCAAGUAAUCUUCUUGAUCACUUCCGACGCACUCACGAACCUUCGCAACGACGGAAACGACAAGCUAACACGCAAAACGAAGAAAAAGACUAAUAAAAACCAAAUAAACAGUACAUAUAAAGUAAACAAACAUGUAGAUCAUGAUUUUAGAUGAAUUUAGCAACUUGAACCACUCAAAACCGAGUUACGAUGAUUUAGUUAUGAAUUUCCGAAGAUUUAAUCUAUUAGAACAACAGGAAAAAGAAAAACGAUGAUGACAUCAUGAGGACCUCAUCAAUGGCCGGACCAAGAUGGCGACCUCGCCGGAGAUUGGAUGGUCGGCUGCGACUUUGGAGGACAUGUACACGUAGAGGACGACGAGACGAACCCAACGGUACUCACCCUCGAACCAAACGACGAACGACGACGGCCGGCGACGAGGUCUAGCGGCGGCACGGCUUCGGUCGACGGCGGCGACGGGACUCCGGUGACCGGCGACAGCGGGGAGAGAGCGGCCGGGCUUCUCCACACCUCGGCGCACCUUACGGCGGUGACGGCGACCGGCGGCGACGACGGAGGCGGCGGCGCGACGCGGAUGGAGCUCGGCCGGCGACGACGGCGGGGUGGAGCACGUGGCGGCGGCGCUACGAGGCACGGGAGACCACGGGAGAGGGGGCAAACGAAAGAGGAGGACUAGGGGGUCCUAUUUAUAGCCUUGGAUUGAAGAGAUCGGACUCCUCCCGCAAGAAAUCGAUCCGGGAAAUCAAAAACUCGGUUUUGGAGAUAAACUCGAAAACGAGUUCGAUUCGGAUAAAAUACUCAACGAUUUGCUCCGAUUUUUGGGGGUAAAGAUAGAGGAGGAUAAGAGGAAUAUUUCCCCUCAACUAAUUUUAGAAAAACACAAGGGAAAAGGUCAGAUUUGGAGGGGAAAACCGCGGCUAUACAGGUACUGUGCGGCUGGCUCGGGCUCUGUCUCCAGCCGGCUGGAGAUUGAAGAUGACACUGUAGCAGGGAGGCAAACUAGACUUUUUGCUGGGCUUCUACUUCUUGGCCCGAUUGAAAAAGGGACACAAAGCAGACUUUGGAGGAGGGAUAAGGCCAGCCGAAAGGAAGGGAGAAUGGGCCGAGGAUAGAAGCUGAACUUUUCCUAUUUCGGCCCGAAAAGGAGAAGGGGAUUUUAAAUACUUUUCCAAUUAAAUUAAUCACUGAAAUGAUCUUUGAAUUGUUAAAAAUACUUCCUAUGCUCAAAUAAUUCCAAGAAAAAUCUUGAAAAUACUUGGACACUCAAAGUACUUAACAAAAUUAUAAUUAGACCAUUUAAUGAUUAAUUUAAUAUGUGGGUAAUUACUGAAAUGCUCUUUGUAAGAUUAAAAUUAGGAAUUGAGCUCCGAAAAAUCCGAGAAAAUUCCAGAGAGUAUAAUUAACCAUGGAGAAUUUAAUAAAAAUUAAAUCCAUCCAUGCUUUAUAUUUAGGAAAUUUUAUUUCCCACAUUUAACUUCACUUGUAAAUUAAUGAACAUUUAAUAUAAAUUCUAUUAUUAAUUUAUUAAAUAAUUUAUAAAUCCUGAAACGAAAAUCAGGAUGUGACAGGGAAGGUCAUUGUGAUGUUGGGAAUGUGGAAAACUGGAUGUGAGGGUAAACCGGACCAAGCGAGGCUUUGGGAAUGUGGAUGAAUCCUCGCG
rnacentral:lncRNA from 1 species